rnacentral:rRNA from 1 species
GACGAACGCUGGCGGCGUGCUUAACACAUGCAAGUCGAACGGAAAGGCCCUGCUUUUGUGGGGUGCUCAAGUGGCGAACGGGUGAGUAACACGUGAGUAACCUGCCCUUGACUUUGGGAUAACUUCAGGAAACUGGGGCUAAUACCGGAUAGGAGCUCCUGCUGCAUGGUGGGGGUUGGAAAGUUUCGGCGGUUGGGGAUGGACUCGCGGCUUAUCAGCUUGUUGGUGGGGUAGUGGCUUACCAAGGCUUUGACGGGUAGCCGGCCUGGGAGGGUGACCGGCCACAUUGGGACUGAGAGACGGCCCAGACUCCUACGGGAGGCAGCAGUGGGGAAUAUUGCACAAUGGGCGGAAGCCUGAUGCAGCAACGCCGCGUGCGGGAUGACGGCCUUCGGGUUGUAAACCGCUUUCGCCUGUGACGAAGCGUGAGUGACGGUAAUGGGUAAAGAAGCACCGGCUAACUACGUG